AGGUGCUAUCACCUGACCAAUCCCCUAACCUUAACCACUCGAGGUGAAAUGCCUAACCCCAACCAAUCGAGCUGCGUCAUAGGGCGGGGCUUUGCGUGGCCAUAGUGGGAUUGGUAAUUUUGCACACUGGACACAU